CAUAAAUGGAUACAACUUCUACAAGACGUUUUGCGACACCGGAUCGGGCGUCAACAUAAUGGCCGCAGUCACCUAUCGGCUCUUGUUCGGAACCAUGCCCUUAAAACCAACAUACAUUCAGCUCCAGAUGGCAGAUCACACAUUUCGAGAGGUUAAAGGUAUAGUAACUGAUGUCCCUGUCAAAAUAGACGAUCACUUUGUCUACACAGACUUUCAAGUUAUUGACAUGGGAGAAGACGAAUAUGAUCCACCCGUCAUCCUUGGAAGACCGGUCCUCAGCACCGUUAAAGCAAUCAUCUACAUUGGAACUGGAGAAGUCCAUAUGCACUUCCCCUCAGAGAAGGUACGCCGCUAUUUUACUGACCCUAACUAUAUCGUUGAAGACUCUAAGCAGGUCAGGACAAGAAGAAGAUGAUGCAACCGCAAUCAGAAGAGGCAAAUCAUCAAGGACGGAUGGGCAGACUAUGAAGGAGAAGUGAUAAGAUCUGAAGACAUACAACUUGAACAAGAUUAUCCUAAGGAGCCCGUAGCACCGAGUCAGGUGUGGAAAGAGAAGAUAACUAUACACGAAGAAGAGGCGCCACUGGAAGCACCGACUGCGCCAUCCAACGAAUCCCAGGACAACUGAGAAAACAGAGAGCCCCGUUCGGAGGACUUAAAAACACCGAACGCCUUGCCAAGAGGUAAACUUGGUAGUUAUCUUUCUUCCUUUCAAUUAUUUAAAAUAGUUUUCUUAGUUAAUCAGGUUCAUAUCAUCUUAAAAAGAAAAUAAAAAUGCUAAAAAAUAGUAAGCCCCAAGUGAGUAUACGAGUGGCAUAAAACCCAUAAGUACAUUUCACUGUGGUGGCAUAAAAUUAAAAUAAAUAUUUCUUUUCUGCUCUAUAAAAUGAAAAUAUAAAAAUAGAGAGUAACAUUUAUUGAGGAGGCUCAACAUGAUAAAGGCUAGAUAUUUAUGCUAACACUUAAUCAGUUCCACAAAACUUUGUUGUCUAUUUGAGCUCCACAGAAUUUAAGAAUCAAGAAGACUAGCAGACGGAGGACAUUCUAAUCGCUGUCAGGAUACUGCCGACUUUCAAACACAUCUCUGCCACCUGCUAGCUACAUCAGAAGAAAUUACGUCAAAAUUCAGCUUGGGGGAGAGCACCCCCAUUUAUUCGCUUAGUAUUUCUACCUAUCUUUAUACUUAUACUAUAUUAAAAUAUAAAUAUACAUAACUAUAAAAAACUAAAUAAAGAUUUUGCACUUAUAUAUAUAUAUAUAUAUAUCUUUUGAUUAGUGUGCUUAAUAAAUAAAUAAAGUGGCUAUGCUAAACUGAAUCUUAAUAAUAAAACUCUAGCAUGGAUGUGUUGAAUAGUUGCUUUGCCUAAUUUUAAAAUUUGAGUUCUCUCACAAGUUUAGACAUAACUGUUAUAAUUUAAAAACUAGCUCUAAAACUUAACUUGUGGGAAAGAGAACUUGAUCUGAAGUCUAAGUUGUUAACGGAUACGAUAUGGGAAGGUUGAGCUGCUAUUUAUCUGUUCCUAGAGAUCUAGAGAUGCUAGAAUUCUAGAGAAUUUUAUCAUUUAAAUCUUUAAAAUAACACAUGAUGAGUUCCUGUAUGAUGAUAGUUUAAAUUUCUACCACAGCCAUAUAUACAUGCUUGCUAGACUUUGAGCCACACAUUUACUUUUUACUGCUUAUGAGCAUUGAGUGUGGUCAAGCUGUGUAGACCCUUAGGAGCUUGUCAUGUGGUUAAAUCAAGAUUCACUUGCACAUUCACUCACACAUGCUGCUUCUACACCAGAAGUACGCAUCCAUAUAUAUCCACUCAUUUCCAUCUCCAGAGCCACUCAAAAGUAUUCUACUUCUAAUCCGGGAGAGAAUAGCCAAAAACAUUUUUGUUUUUCCCUAUAAUAUAUAUGCUCGAGUUAUAUUGGUUACUACCAAUUGCUAUAUUAUUUCAUGAGAUGAGUGCUCUAAAAAAAGAAAAAACAAUAAUAAAUACGAGGAAAUAAAAAGGAGCAAGUGCCCGGAACCUCGAAAGAAAAGAAAAAGUGAGACUGUUGACGGUCCUUAAUGCUCACAUUUAACCGUCAACUAAUCAUGGAAAAGGAUCAAAAUGCAACCAACACCCAGACUUAGGGUUUUAUCUGACAGAAUUCUACGAGUUUUGGUGUUUGUCUAUUUCUACAGGGGGUUAUCAGGAAAUAUGGAGGAAAGGCCCACACGUCAGGUUUACAUAGAGCUAUUAACGUGCCGCGCAAUUUUUCUACCAUCUAGAAGACUCCAGAAGCCACGGGAAGGCAAUCGGGCUCGGAGGCAGGGCGCCCGCCCUACUCUCCUGGGCGCCCACCCACCUACAGUGCCCAAACAGAGUUCUUUUCGAAGAUCAUGUUCCACCGACCUAAGGGAUCAAGGAAAACCGUGUGAUUAAUGUCGGUUUGAUCCGACGGCCCGGAUUCAUCUUAAAAGACUAUAUAAGCAAGGCCCCCUAGCCCCUGGAGAUCAUACCUCUUCUACAGAAUCAAAGUUAGGGUUUCAAUUCUUCAUCCAAGUAGAGAGGAUCCCUCUAGUUCAUCUAGUUCUACCUCUAGUUCAUCUAGUUCUAGUUCUAGUUCUAGUUCAUCUAGUUCUAGUUCUAGUUCUUCUAGUUCUAGUUCUAGUUAGUUAUAGUUGUAAUCUAGAAAAUAGGGAGAGAGAAGAGGAGAGCGGAGGAAGAGGAUCCGGAUCUUCCUCAACAUUUUACUUUUGCAGCAACUGGUUCGUUCUUCAUCGUUCUCCAGGUUCUUCAACUCAUAAUUCCUGAUUCUUUAAUUACUUUUAUUUACAUUCAAGUUAUUUAUUGGAUUCCCGCUUGCAUCAAGUGCUCUAAUCUUUGCAACAUUAGAGUAGUAAUUAAUAGAUUAGACAUGGUGUUUAGUCUUCUAAUUACCUGGAAUUGCACCCAAUCCUGCGCAUUGUUGUGGUAGCCCUAGGGUAGUGACAGCCCUAACGGUCGACGUAUUCCACCUCGUUCCGAUCGGUGCUUGUAGGACCGUAGUCAGAGCUUCCUAGCCCCCUUCUCAUCUCUUUCUGUGGUUAGUGUUCUGAUGUCCCAAAAUAAAUAAUCUUUGAAGUAAUUCUUGAUUCUUAGAUCAACUAGAAAACUCUUAGGAAACUUCCUCUCUUCCCACCAAAAAAAAUUAUAUAGUUAUCCUUGGGCGAUCUUGAAUCUUAAUUAGUACACUCACGUUCCCUGUGGAAAAUCGAUACUCUGGAAUACUCCCGGGUGAAGGCUACAUCGGCAUCCGUGCGCUUGCGGAUUUUUCUGUUUGCGUUUAAAAUACCCAACAAGCUUUCUAGCGCCGUUGCCGGGGAACAAUAGUUGUGCUAGUUUCGAACCAAGUCGUCCGUGUAUCCUUUUUCUUUUCUUUCUUUACCACAUUCACCUUACCAUUUUCACCACACCAUAUGGAUUUCACUCCAAGCAUUAAUGAGCAUAGAAUUUAUUUCAUAGCCACUUCAUUUACUCCAUGCUCAUAUGCUAUAUCUUCACAAUCCAUUGGUCUCUCCAACAUCACCACAUUCGAGAUCUCCAACCCCCUCUUCCUUUCUAUUUAUAAAAACUUUAAAAGGGCGGUUGUCGAUGCAUAUGUCUAUAAUAAAUUUUACAGAUCUCGUUGAGUUGAUCUUGAUAUAGGUUAGCAUUGGAGGGGAAACCACUUCGCUGACAUAAAUUGAUGGUUUCCCAAGGACAAGCUUAGUGUCCUAAAAUAAGCAUUGAUCAGAUCGUAACAUGAGCUUUUAAUUAUUUGCAACAUUACCUUGUGUUUUGAGCAUAUAAGGAUAAUUGUAAAAAAAUCCUUCGGGUAUUCUUGUCACUAACCAUUCCAGGAUUGGAGCAAGAAGAUCGGAUGAACGACAAGCACAAGGUAUGUCCAACCAAUCAUCAUACAACAUUGAAUUAAAUUCAUCCAAACUUGAAUUUUGCAAAAUUCAAGCUUGGGGGAGUACUUUACAUUAAAAACAUCCUUUGCCAUGUUGCUAUGUUGGUUGUCCCUACCUUUGAGACAUGGUCAAUUUGUUAAAUACUAUUCAGACUACAACAUCUUCACUUGAGUAGAUCUCUAUAAAUGCUCUCAUGCUACCUUUAUUUGCUUUAGUAUAUGUCUAGGUUUGGAGUAGUUAUAUUUAUCUCUUAAUUAAGCAUGGUGCUUAGUUUAGGGUUGAUGAUCUUACUUCCAAGGGAGUUUAAAUUAAGCAUGAUGCUUAGGUUAAAAUGCCCUCCUAAAUCAAAUUAGACAUGGUGUCUAGGUUGAUCUUUGAGCCAAUAGUAUGCUAUAGUAGAUAUUGGAUAUUUUGUUGGACUAAUCCCUGCAGGAAAACUUUCAAUAUCGACCUGGGAAGUCCUGAGAUAAACUCAUAUUGGAGACAAAGAGAGAGAUGCAUGAAGGUUAACAAUUUACACAAGGAAGGCAUAGCACACAAGAGAUGAUCCAUAGAGGGUGCUACAAAUACGAUGCACAACCGCUAAGAAAGGAAAGCUUCCACAAGGUGAUAAUGUACCAUCACCCUUCAAGUAAGGUAACAUCUUAAGGUUCUUGACUAUCACUUUUUAUAAGCUUCUCAUUGGUUCUGGCGUUCACAUGAAUAAAAGAGACAAACAUGUAUGAUUUACAACUCUAGAUUAACCAACCCAGUCAAUUCAAUAUGUUUAGUCCUUCCACCUUUGUGACCCCACACUCCUAAUCAUAUAAGCUAAAAUGUUGCACGCUCAAUCUUUGGAUGUGUUGAAUAGUUGCUUUGCGUAAUUUUAAAAUUUGAGUUCUCUCUCAAGUUUAGACAUAACUGUUAUAAUUUAAAAACUAGCUCUAAACCUUAACUUGUGGGAAAGAGAACUUGAUCUGAAGUCUAAGUUGUUAACGGAUACGAUAUGGGAAGGUUGAGCUGCUAUUUAUCUGUUCCUAGAGAUGCUAGAAUUCUGGAGAAUUUUAUCCUUUAAAUCUUUAAAAUAACACAUGAUGAGUUCCUGUAUGAUGAUAGUUUAAAUUUCUACCACAGCCAUAUAUACAUGCUUUCUAGACUUUGAGCCACACAUUUACUUUUUACUGCUUAUGAGCAUUAAGUGUGGUCAAGCUGUGUAGACCCUUAGGAGCUUGUCAUGUGGUUAAAUCAAGAUUCACUUGCACAUUCACUCACACAUGUAGCUUCUACACCAGAAGUAUGCAUCCAUAUAUAUCCACUCAUUUCCAUCUCCAGAGCCACUCAAAAGUAUUCUACUCCUAAUCCGGGAGAGAAUAGCCAAAAACAUUUUUGUUUUUCCCUAUAAUAUAUAUGCUCGAGUUAUAUUGGUUACUACCAGUUGCUAUAUUAUUUCAUGAGAUGAGUGCUCUAAAAAAAGAAAAAAAAUAAUAAAUACGAGGAAAUAAAAAGGAGCAAGUGCCCGGAACCUCGAAAGAAAAGAAAAAGUGAGACUGUUGACGGUCCUUAAUGCUCACAUUUAACCGUCAACUAAUCAUGGAAAAGGAUCAAAAUGCAACCAACACCCAGACUUAGGGUUUUAUCUGACAGAAUUCUACGAGUUUUGGUGUUUGUCUAUUUCUACAGGGGGUUAUCAGGAAAUAUGGAGGAAAGGCCCACACAUCAGCUUUACAUAGAGCUAUUAACGUGCCGCGUAAUUUUUCUACCAUCUAGAAGACUCCAGAAGCCACGGGAACGAACGGGAAGGCAAUCGGGCUCGGAGGCAGGGCGCCCGCCCUACUCUCCUGGGCGCCCGCCCACCUACAGUGCCCAAACAGAGUCCUUUUCGAAGAUCAUGUUCCACCGACCUAAGGGAUCAAGGAAAACCGUGUGAUUAAUGUCGGUUUGAUCCGACGGCCCAGAUUCAUCUUAAAAGACUAUAUAAGCAAGGCCCCCUGGCCCCUGGAGAUCAUACCUCUUGUACAGAAUCAAAGUUAGGGUUUCAAUUCUUCAUCCAAGUAGAGAGGAUCCCUCUAGUUCAUCUAGUUCUACCUCUAGUUCAUCUAGUUCUAGUUCUAGUUCAUCUAGUUCUAGUUCUAGUUCUUCUAGUUCUAGUUCUAGUUAGUUCUAGUUGUAAUCUAGAAAAUAGGGAGAGAGAAGAGGAGAGCGGAGGAAGAGGAGCCGGAUCUGUCGGAUCUUCCUCAACAUUUUACUUUUGCAGCAACUGGUUCGUUCUUCAUCGUUCUCCAGGUUCUUCAACUCAUAAUUCCUGAUUCUUUAAUUACUUUUAUUUACAUUCAAGUUAUUUAUUGGAUUCCCGCUUGCAUCAAGUGCUCUAAUCUUUGCAACAUUAGAGUAGUAAUUAAUAGAUUAGACAUGGUGUUUAGUCUUGUAAUUACCUGGAAUUGCACCCAAUCCUGCGCAUUGUUGUGGUAGCCCUAGGGUAGUGACAGCCCUAACGGUCGACGUAUUCCACUUCGUUCCGAUCGGUGUUUGUAGGACCGUAGUCAGAGCUUCCUAGCCCCCUUCUCAUCUCUUUCUGUGGUUAGUGUUCUGAUGUCCCAAAAUAAAUAAUCUUUGAAGUAAUUCUUGAUUCUUAGAUCAACUAGAAAACUCUUAGGAAACUUCCUCUCUUCCCACCAAAAAAAAUUAUAUAGUUAUCCUUGGGCGAUCUUGAAUCUUAAUUAGUACACUCACGUUCCCUGUGGAAAAUCGAUACUCUGGAAUACUCCCGGGUGAAGGCUACAUCGGCAUCCGUGCGCUUGCGGAUUUUUCUGUUUGCGUUUAAAAUACCCAACAAGCUUUCUAGCACCGUUGCCGGGGAACAAUAGUUGUGCUAGUUUCGAACCAAGUCGUCCGUGUAUCCUUUUUCUUUUCUUUCUUUACCACAUUUACCUUACCAUUUUCACCACACCACAUGGAUUUCACUCCAAGCAUUAAUGAGCAUAGAAUUUAUUUCAUAGCCACUUCAUUUACUCCAUGCUCAUACGCUAUAUCUUCACAAUCCAUUGGUCUCUCCAACAUCACCACAUUCGAGAUCUCCAACCCCCUCUUCCUUUCUAUUUAUAAAAACUUUAAAAGGGCGGUUGUCGAUGCAUAUGUCUAUAAUAAAUUUUACAGAUCUCGUUGAGUUGAUCUUGAUAUAGGUUAGCAUUGGAGGGAAACCACUUCGCUGACAUAAAUUGAUGGUUUCCCAAGGACAAGCUUAGUGUCCUAAAAUAAGCACUGAUCAGAUCGUAACAUGAGCUUUUAAUUAUUUGCAACAUUACCUUGUGUUUUGAGCAUAUAAGGAUAAUUGUAAAAAAAUCCUUCGGGUAUUCUUGUCACUAACCAUUCCAGGAUUGGAGCAAGAAGAUCGGAUGAACGACAAGCACAAGGUAUGUCCAACCAAUCAUCAUACAACAUUGAAUUAAAUUCAUCCAAACUUGAAUUUUGCAAAAUUCAAGCUUGGGGGAGUACUUUACAUUAAAAACAUCCUUUGCCAUGUUGCUAUGUUGGUUGUCCCUACCUUUGAGACAUGGUCAAUUUGUUAAAUACUAUUCAGACUACAACAUCUUCACUUGAGUAGAUCUCUAUAAAUGCUCUCAUGCUACCUUUAUUUACUUUAGUAUAUGUCUAGGUUUGGAGUAGUUUCAUUUAUCUCUUAAUUAAGCAUGGUGCUUAGUUUAGGGUUGAUGAUCUUACUUCCAAGGGAGUUUAAAUUAAGCAUGAUGCUUAGGUUAAAAUGCCCUCAUAAAUCAAAUUAGACAUGGUGUCUAGGUUGAUCUUUGAGCCAAUAGUAUGCUAUAGUAGAUAUUGGAUAUUUUAUUGGACUAAUCCCUGUAGGAAAACUUUCAAUAUUGACCUGGGAAGUCCUGAGAUAAACUCACAUUGGAGACAAAGAGAGAGAUGCAUGAAGGUUAACAAUUUACACAAGGAAGGCAUAGCACACAAGAGAUGAUCCAUAGAGGGUGCUACAAAUACGAUGCACAACCGCUAAGAAAGGAAAGCUUCCACAAGGUGAUAAUGUACCAUCACCCUUCAAGUAAGGUAACAUCUUAAGGUACUUGACUAUCACUUUUUAUAAGCUUCUCAUUGGUUCUGGCGUUCACAUGAAUAAAAGAGACAAACAUGUAUGAUUUACAACUCUAGAUUAACCAACCCAGUCAAUCCAAUAUGUUUAGUCCUUCCACCUUUGUGACCCCACACUCCUAAUCAUAUAAGCUAAAAUGUUGCACGCUCAAUCUUUGGAAGAUAUAUAAAAAACAAACAACAUAACUAUAGAUAGAUUAUCUUUCUAUUAGGUUGAGCAAUCUGAUCUGACAAAUGUUUUAAAUGUUACUCUCAUGAUCUUAUUAUCCAUCAACUUUGUCUUGCUCACUAUGCUUAAGGUUAGAGGAGAACAAAUACACUUUUGGUUUUGUUGGUGUUUUCCACCAACAGGGCCCAUGCACUUGAUCUCUGCCAUGUCUCUAUGAGCAGGUACACUUCAAGCAAAAUAUGAAGGAGUUUUACAACUUCCAGACUCCACCAAGUGAAGAACUUGUAUCUACGAGCACAAACACACUAGAGAUAUUGGACACUCAGGCAAUCACUGCCCUGAGAUGCUUGAGGACGUGAACUACAUCAACAAUAACAACAACUACUACUACUACAACCGUCCUCUACAAAAUCAAGCCUGCAGAUCAGACACUAAGUUUCCCAAAGGGAAUUUUGAAGAACCUCUGCGUCCGAGUUGGUACCUUCUACGCCCCAGCAGACUUCGUGGUGAUAGAGACCAGUAAUGAUGAGAGGGCACCCGUCAUCUUAGGAAGGCCAUUCCUGAGCACCUCGGGAGCUGUCAUCUACACUACUGCUGCCAAGAUCAGUUUCUACAUCAAAGGGAGGAAGGAGACGUUUUUCUUCAAGAACAAGACUACACAAAUCUCAGAGCAAUCCCGACAUGAACUAAGAAAGAGGACCAACAGGAGGAACAGGAACAAGCAAAUGUGGAUCAAGUCAGCUAAGAUGGUCACUCCAAUUCAAGGAGGUCAAGAUCGUCGACGUAAGUCACCGUUCCUGACCAAAAAGGACGACCCAGUCAUCUAUCAGCUCCUGUUUGGAACCAUGUCCCUAAAAUCUACAUACAUUCAGCUCCAGAUGGCAGAUCACACAUUCCAAAAGGUUGAAGGUAUAGUAACUGAUGCCCCUGUCAAAAUAGACGAUCAUUUUGUCCAUACAGAUUUUUAGGUUACUGACUUGGGAGAAAAUGAGUACGAUCCACCCAUCAUCCUUGGGAGACUGUUCCUCAGCACCGUUAAAGUAAUCAUCUACAUUGGAACCAGAGAAGUCCACAUGCACUUUCCCUCUAAGAAGGUACGCUGCUAUUUUCCUGACCCUAACCAUAUAGUUGAAGACUCUAAGCAGGUCAGGACAAGAAGAAGACGACACAACUGUAACCAGAGGAGGCAAAUCAUCAAGGACGGAUGGGCAGAGUACGAAGGAGAAGUGGUAAGGUCUGAAGACUUACAACUUGAACAGAACUAUCCUGAGGAGACCGUAGCACCGAGUCAGGUGUGUAGAGAGAAGUUAGUUGUACAUGAAGAGCAAGCGCCGCUGGAACCACCGACUACGCCAUCCAGCGAAUCCCAGGACGACUGACAAAACGGAGAGUCUCGUUCGGAGAACUUAAAAACAUCGAACGCCUUGCCAAGAGGUAAACUUGGUAGUUAUCCUUUUCCUUUCAAUUAUUUAAAAUAGUUUGCUUAGUUAAUCAGGUUCAUGCUAUCUUGAAAAGAAAAGAAAAAUGUUAAAAAUAGUAUGCCCCAUGUGAGUAUGCUCAUGGCAUAAAACCCAUAAGUACAUUCACUGUGGUGGCGUAAAAAUGAAAUAAAUAUAUUCCUGUCCUAUAAAAAUAAAAUUAUAAAAAUAAAUUUAUGAUCCUACUAAAGAGAGUAACAUUUAUUGAGGCGGCUCAACAUGAUAAAGGCUAGAUAUUUAUGCUAACACUUAACUAGUUCCACAAAGCUUUGUUGUCUAUUUGAGCUCCACAUAAUUCAAGGAUCAAAGAAGACUAGCAGACGAAGGACAUCCUAAUCGCUGUCAGGAUGCUGCCGACAUUCAAAUACACAUCCGCCACCUGCUAGCUACAUCAGAAGAAAUUACGUCAAAAUCCAGUUUGGGGGAGAGCACCCCCAUUUAUCUAGCUAAGUGUUUCUACUGACGUUUAUACUUUACUCAAAUAAUAAAAAGAUGCAUAAUCAUAAAAACCGAAAUAAAGAUUUUGUGCUUAUAUAUAUAUAUAUAUAUCUUUGCUUAGUUUGCUAACUAAAUAAAUAAAGUUUGCUAUGAACCCUCAUGAUAAGCUCUCACAUGGAAAUCAUGAAUAGUUGCUCUGCCAUGACUAUUUCUCAAAAUUCAAAUCUCUCUCAAGUUUAGGCAUGACUGUUAUUAAUUAAGAUUUGCUCUAAACCUAAACUUGUAGGAAGAGUACUUGAUCUAAAGUCUAAGUCAUUAACGGAUAUGAUAUGGGAAGGUUGAGCUGUUGUUUAUCUGUUCCUAGAGAUGCUAGAAUUCUAGAGAAUUUUAUCUUUAAAAAUCUUUAAAAUGUUGCAUGAUGAGUUCCUGUAUGAUGAGAGUUUAAAAUCCUACCACAGCCAUAUAUACAUGCUUAUUAGAUAAUGAACCACACAUUUACUUUUUACUGCUUAUGAAGCAUUGAGUGUGGUCAAGCUGUGUAGACCCUUAGGAGCUUGUCAUGUGGUUAAAAUCAAGAUUCACCUGCACGUUCACUCAUACAUGUUGCUUCUACUCCGGAAGUACGCAUCCACAUAUAUCCACCCAUUUCCAUCUCCAGAACCACCCAAAAAUAUUCUACUCCUAAUUCGGGAGAGAAUAGCCAAAAACAUUUCUGUUUUCCCCUGUGAAAUAAAUGCUUAAGUUAUCUUGGUUACUACCACUUGGUACAUUAUUUCAAGAGAUGAGUGCUCUAAAAAAAGAGAGAGAAAAAGAUACGAGGAAAUAAAAAGGGGCAAGUGCCCGGAACCUCAAAAGAAAAUAAAAAGCGAGACGAGAGGUAAAAAAGGACAAGUGUCCGAUAGUAGAAUUAGGGGUACAAGAUACCCACCUGAGAGAAAAGAAAAAGAAAAUAUAGAGCAUCUCAUUCUCCACAAAAAGUUUCAAAAGAGCAAGAAAGGUAUGUAUCCCCUCAAAAGAGCACAAGUAGAAUUAGAAUUUCACCAUUGUUAUCACCAUCAUCACCAUACACCAUUCAUUCGCCACACAUGCACAUCUUGAUUUGACUUAUUGACUUGUUCUUCUGGAUCCAUGGUUUGACUAUGCAAUAAAUGUCUUGUAAGUAUGUAUUAGCUGUCUCCCACCUAUGAGCUCUAGAUAUCAAAACCUUAUUAGAGUAGGGUGAGAGAGAAGGCAAUGCCACUAUGCCUCAUACCAAAAAUACCACAUACUUUGAGAGAAGGCAUACACCAUUACUGCCUUGGUAAGGAUCCAGAAAUACCACAAAAGAGAGACUAGAGAGAAUCAUACAAGGAAUCUCUGAGUUUUAUUUGAAAAUCUGCAAAAACUCCAGAGCUAUAGUUAUUUGAAGAACAAGAGACAUGGCGCUUGACUAGACCGUUCUAUCUUUUAACUGCUCAAGACACAAGUGACGGUUGCAAGCCCCAUGGUGGAAGGUAAUAUGAGUAAGUUUAAAUCUUAACAAUUUACCCUAACCCAGAGAUGAGAUCUUGUUUGAACGCAUGUGUAUCAUUAAGGUAUGAAACCACUGUAGAAACUCUUGAGUCCAUCUUUGCUCAGGGACGAGCAAAGGUUAAGCCUGGGGGAGCUUGUUGACGGUCCUUAAUGCUCACAUUUAACCGUCAUCUAAUCAUGGAAAAGAAUCCAAAUGCAACCAACACCCAGACUUAGGGUUUUAUCUGACAGAAUUCCACGAGUUUUGGUGUUUGUCUAUUUCUGCAGGGGGUUAUCAGGAAAUAUGGAGGAAAGGCCCACACGUCGGGUUUACAUAGAGAUAUUAACGUGCUGUGCAAUUUUCUACCAUCUAGAAGACUCCAGAAGCCACGGGAACGAACGGGAAGGCAAUCGGGCUUGGAGGCAGGGCGCCCGCCCUACUCUCCUGGGCGCCCGCCCACCUACAGUGCCCAAACAGAGUCC
rnacentral:lncRNA from 1 species